GAACAGCCAGCCUCAGCCCAGGAGAACAGCCAGCCUCAGCCCAGGAGAACAGCCAGCCUCAGCCCAGGAGAACAGUCAGUCUCAACUCAGGAGAACAGAGAACAGUCAGUCUCAACUCAGGAGAACAGCCAGCCUCAGCCCAGGAGAACAGCCAGCCUCAGCCCAGGAGAACAGAGAACAGUCAGCUUCAACUCAGGAGAACAGAAAACAGCCAGCCUCAACCCAGGAGAACAGCCAGCCUCAACCCAGGAGAACAGCCAGGCUCAGCCCAGGAGAGCAGCCAGCCUCAACCCAGGAGAACAGAGAACAGCCAGUCUCAGCCCAGGAGAACAGCCAGCCUCAACCCAGGAGAGCAGUCAGCCUCAACUCAGGAGAACAGAGAACAGUCAGCUUCAACUCAGGAGAACAGAGAACAGCCAGCCUCAACCCAGGAGAACAGAGAACAGCCAGUCUCAACCCAGGAGAACAGCCAGCCUCAGCCCAGGAGAACAGUCAGCCUCAACUCAGGAGAACAGAGAACAGUCAGCUUCAACUCAGGAGAACAGAGAACAGCCAGUCUCAACUCAGGAGAACAGAGAACCGCCAGUCUCAACUCAGGAGAACAGCCAGCCUCAACCCAGGAGAACAGCCAGCCUCAACCCAGGAGAACAGAGAACAGCCAGCCUCAACCCAGGAGAACAGCCAGCCUCAACCCAGGAGAACAGCCAGGCUUAGCCCAGGAGAGCAGCCAGUCUCAACCCAGGAGAACAGAGAACAGCCAGCCACAGCCCAGGAGAACAGCCAGCCUCAACCCAGGAGAGCAGCCAGCCUCAACCCAGGAGAGCAGCCAGCCUCAACCCAGGAGAACAGAGAACAGCCAGCCUCAACCCAGGAGAACAGCCAGCCUCAACCCAGGAGAACAGCCAGCCUCAGCCCAGGAGAACAGCCAGCCUCAACCCAGGAGAACAGCCAGCCUCAGCCCAGGAGAACAGUCAGUCUCAACUCAGGAGAACAGAGAACAGUCAGCUUCAACUCAGGAGAACAGCCGGUCUCUAGGUUGAAGGUAAGAGAGGAAGAUGGAGGUGUUCACUCUGAAAAGGACAUGGUAUUCUGGGAAGUGGAAUGUGUAUCUAUCUUCAACAUGAUGAUACCAUGGCAACACAACAUCCACCUCUCUAGUAAAGACUGACAGACAUUAAAGGGUUUCCAUGCCCUUUGCCCAUUCCAUGUCUCCCUUG
rnacentral:lncRNA from 1 species